rnacentral:lncRNA from 1 species
AUGCCCAAUUAUUGCAUUCAUAUUGACCCAUUCUUCGGAUUCGCGAGGAACGAACAUAAAUGCGAUUUUGAAUUGUUCAUUACCUACUCAGAGAUGGAACACGGCGCAGAGUUGAGCGACCACGUUCAUAAUGCUACCCGUGGUCUAUUCCGAAACCCAAUUUGGAACUCUAAAAACCAUCUGAUCUUUGUCGUAAAUCCUUCCGAGAUAGGAGUAUUUCAUUCAACAGAAGCGAGCAAUGAGUUGAGGUCAUCUUUGGAAGAUAAACCAGCAAGGAAAUGGGCGCAAAUAAGGGCGGAGUUGCAGUUCCUCUUCAAAUUUAUGUGGCGCUUCUUCAAAGGGAUAAAAACUGUUAUUUGCCUUCAGGCGGAUUGCUUCUACUACAACCCGUUCGCGAAACAUGUGUUACGGUACCCAAUUUCGGGUGCCGAAAAUCAAGUCAACUUUGAUUGGAAUGAUUGGGGUGGGUGGGAAUUCUCGGUCAAAAUCACUGAGGAAAUCGACACAGAAAGAGCCUCUAUGUUCACUCUCUGGGACGACAUUUUGAUGGAAGCGUUAGAAGAUGUUCAAAAAUCCAAAAAAUGCGUGUUUUUCCCAUUCAAAGAACCGGAAGGAUUCGAUUAUUACGAGGACGGUCACAGAUAUGGGCCGGAUAUUCUUAUCGCGAUGCAUGGGUUCAGUCCUGAACACGAAACUACCGAUUUCGCAAAUUUCGACGCAUCAGGCACCGUUGAACACUGCAACUUGUGUAUCGUGACCCCGCGUGCUGCUUUCGUACCCCAAUUUUUGGUCUUCAUUAAGUGUGUCGACCCCUCCGUCUGGUUAUGUUUCUUAAUGUCGGUUCUUGUGCUUUACUCAUGCAAUAUUUAUUCCAGUACUCACAGGUUAGAAUAUUCAGUCGGCUGUACUCAACCGGGGAGUUAUUUGCUUACGAGAAGACAUCCGCUUUCUUACCGUUUGGGAGUACUUCAUGUGUGGAGCACCAAUGAGGCUUCUUCUGGGACGCUUGCUCACGGGAAAAAUCCUUUUUUGUAUUUUCAUCUUCGCUGUUUUAAUAUUUCCCACAGUCAUUCAGAGUAG